CUUCCAUAUGCCCUUUAAGCUUCUUGGCUGUUCCCUUGAUGAUAGCCUCGUGCGUGAUUGUGUCUUCCUUCCUUUCUAGGUCUCUGAUUGUGUCUUCCUUCCUUUCUAGGUCUUGUUUGGUAGCAGGCGCACCUUCAGCUGGCUUGUGCUUGAGCUGCCACAGCGCUUGGAGGAGUACGCCUAAGGGUUUAUCUUUAACGGAUUCUGGCAGACCCAGCGGGUCUUCAUCCAUUUGUUUCAGUCUCGUCUUUGCUGACAUGACCUUGCUGUUGCUGGGGCUGUGGUUCGGCAGAUUGAAGCUUCCGCAGGAUGUAAUACAGAAUGUCCCGAGUUCGAAGGGCUCGAGCAAACAAGUGCACUGCUGGGAUGUCGACCAUGACACUGCGCCUGCUGGGACAAUGUUUUUUCCACAUUGAGGAAGCUUCCUUCGCAAUAGCCAGGGUUUCCUCCUUAUCCAGUGCCACAAUGGCGACCGAUGGUAUGGGCUCCCCCUCAGCAGUGUGGCGUUGUGCGACAUCGUCUAUCCAUUCGGCUAGCUUCACCCUAGUGUUCUCCUCCGGCGUACGAGGCUGGUAAAAUGUCCCUCUUACACCAGAAUAGUUAGUUGUUGCCAUUGCUAGCAUGAGUUCAUCGUUGCUCUUUUCCUUUUCAUCUCCGGAACUAGUAGAUGAUGUAGACGCUUGCUCCUCUGCUGUAGGCGACAGUGCCGCUGCCGCCUCCUUAGCCGGGACCUCAACGCCGUACCUGUAACAUGCCAGAAAUAAUUAAUUAGAAUGAAAAGUUCAACCAUGUAGCCACAACAACAGAUGAAGAAAAAUAACUUCUGCAAGUGCAAUAUAUAUAGGCCAGGUGGAAAUUCCGAGACCUUUGAUAGGUUUAUCUCAUCAAAACAGUCAAAAUGGUGUGGUGGUUUAUCUUUCUAUUUUAUUUUUUUGAGGGCGGUGUGGUGGUUUAUUUAGGUAAGACUCUGUACCAGGGGGGAUGGGCUUGAUGUUUUGACAAUGUUUUAGCAAUGUUCACAUAUAUACAACUUAAAGCGAAUUAUAUUAGGUGGCAAAAUAGUCGCUCGGUAGCUAACUAGCUAUAAUACUUCUAGUAAGUUUCAGCCGAGAGUUUGUCAUUUCAUUUAUCAGUAGGUAUUCAUUUCAGUGCUGCCAGUUGCACAGCCAUAUACACUACUAACUGUAACUGUAAACUCAGUAGUAAUUGUUCAUUAUAUUAUCAGAGGCUGGCAUUUAAUUAGUAGCAUAUGAUUCCUUCCCUCAUUUAUUAGUUUUUACUAGUAACUGUAAACUCAGUAGUAAUUGUUCAUUAUAUUAUCAGAGGCUGGCAUUUAAUUGUAGCAUGACUGAACUGUCAGCCUCAUUUAUUAGUUCCUACUAGUUAAUUACUAUGUUUAUAAGCCAAAAACUAAAAGGCCAAAAAUUAAGCCUAAGAAAGCACAACUAAUCUUGUAUACCAGCGAUGUCAAGUGAGCAAGGCCAAAGACAGAUGGGCGUUGAUGGGCUGACUAGGCCUAGAUACUUUUUUAUUCCAUGUUGCGUGUAUCUAAAAUACUUUUCUCUUUUAUUCUCUCUAGCAUAGUGAUACAUGGGUUUGUAUGUGUGCACGUUUUUUCUAGAUGUAUAAUUAAUUGUUCAUAAUUAAUUUUUUGUGAGGAAAAUUCUUCAUUAUCCCCUCCGUUCCAUAUUAAGUGUCGUUGAUUUAUUAUAACUUUGUACUUACAUUCUUUUAAUUUCUUGAUUUCACAAUAGGUAUUAUAUCCAUUUUAUUUUCUGAUAUGUACUACUUUAUGUUUCAUGCAUUUUCUGUAUUUAAUGGUUUUUGUUCUACUUAUUUUUAAUCUAUUUCGCACCACUUAAUCCUGAAUAUUCACGACGACUUCCUUUUCAGAAGAUUUUUCCCACCGGUAAUCGUGGAUUGCUUUACAACAACUUUCAAUUUCUUCCAAUUUGUUUUUUCUUUUUCACUAGUAAUUAUGAGUUUUUUCCUUCGAUGAUUUUAUUUUGUUCCACUUUUUAUAUUCUUACAAUAGUUAUGUUCCGUGAUGAAUUUUAGUAAUCUUGAGUCACUUCAUCAUGAGUAAUUUGAUCCAGUAAUAUUAAUUUCUCUGUUCCAGUACUAAUCUUGAAUUAUUACACUGUGACAUUAUUUUUGUUCCACUUUUCUUGUCCGAAUAUAAAUCCUAAAUUAUUGUGAAGAUGAUUUUCCCACUUUUUUGGUCAAUAAGUUGUAUUGAAUUGUUGCGUGGUGAUAAUUUUUGUUCCACCACUUACUAUGGAUUGUUCCAUGUUGGCUUCGUUUUUGUUCUGUUGUUAAUUAUAAAUUGUUUUAUUUUGGUCUU